rnacentral:lncRNA from 1 species
AGUGGUAAAUGACUCCAACUAGGAACCACGAGGUUGUGGGUUCAGUCCCUGGCCUCGCUCAGAGAGUUAAGGAGCCAGCGGUACUGUGAGCUGUGGUGUAGGUCGCAGAUGUGGCUUGGAUCCUGCAUUGCUGUGGCUAUGGCUGUGGCCGGCAGCUGUAGCUCCAUUGCAACACUUAGCCUGGGAACCUCCACAUGCUGCAGGUGUGGCCCUAAAAAGCAAAAAAAAAAAAAAUUUUUAAAUACAAAAUAAGAAUCCUCUGGUGGCCUAGCAGUUAAGGAUUCAGUGUUGUCACUGCUAAGGAUCAGGUUGGAUCCCUGGCCCAGGAACUUCCAUAUGUCAUGGGUGUGGUCAAAAAAAAAAGAAAAAGAAAAUACAAAAUAGAAAUAUAAGUAGUGCAAGAGAAUACCCACUGUGAGCAUUUUAAUCAUUAUCCUUUUGGCCUUUUCUCUAUACACUCUUCAUGUCGUUUUUAGCCCUUCCUUCAUAUAAAAUUAGGACCAUAUUCUAGAUUCUGUUUUAUAACUGCUUUUUACAGCUUUCACCAUUAUGCAGUCGACAACCUUCCCAUGUCAUUAGCAUUCUUUUACUGCAUUUAAAGGGUUGCUAACUGUCCACUUGGAGUUCCAUCAUCUACAUAAAAAAUCAUCUCUUAUCUUCCUUCCUCCCUUCCUUCCUUCCUUCUUUCCUUCCUUUCUUUCUUGGCAUCACCAGCAGAAUAUGGAAGUUCCUGGGUCAGGCAUUGAACCUGCUGAAAAAUCAUUUUCCAUGUUUACAUUUUAUGUUACAAAAAAUCAUUUAUGAUUUUUCAGUGUCAUAAACAAUAAUAUGUGAUGAUCAUUCUUUUUUUUUUUUUUUUUUUUGGUCUUUUCAGGGCUGUACCCAUGGCAUAUGAAGUUCUCAGGCUAGGGGUCGAAUUGGUGCUGUAGGCGCUGGCCUACGCCACAGCCACAGCAAUGCCAGAUCUGAGCCAAGUUUUCGACCUACACCACAGCUCAUGGCAGCACCGGAUCCUUAACCCACUGACCGAGGCCAGGGAUAGAACCUGAGUCCUCAUGGUUUCUAGUUAGAAUCGUUUCCGCUGAGCCAUGAUAGGCACGCUCUGUGAUGAUCAUUCUUGUAGCUAAAUCUCUGCCCACAUCUGCGAUUUUUCCUUUAGACGCAAUUCUAGAAGUUGGGUGUCUGGGUAUAAAGAGAUGUAUACUCCUGAGGUUUAGACAUCUCCCAGUUAAUUUUUUAACAGUGGCAUAACAGUUUGCACUGAGAGUAUGAACUGAAAUAGAUUCCUGUCAGGUGGUUCUUAGAAUCCUGAGAGUGGAGUUCCGUUGUGGUGCAGUGGAAACGAAUCUGACUACUGUCCAUGAAGAUGUGGCUUCAAUCUCUGGUCUCAGUGGGUAGGAGAUCUGGCAUUGCCAUGAGCUGUGGUGUAGGUCGCAGACAUGGCUUGGAUCCUGCAUCGCUGUGGCUGUGGUAGAGGCCUCAGCUGUAGCUCCCAUUUGACCCCUAGCCUGGGAACUUCCAUAUGCUCUGGGUGUGGCCAAAAAGAAAAAAAAAAAAAAUCCUGAGAGCAACAACAGUGACAGCAAUGACAAUGUUAAUAAUUGUCUGGUACCUGUUACAUCUCUUCAUUUAUUUCCCAGCAAAAACCUAGCUAGAUGGGGAUUAAUUGGUACCUUUGACAAACAAAGACACAGGUUCAAGAGAAGGACCGUAUUCAAGUUCUUUCAGAAGAAGGCUGGAUGCAAAGCUGGACCUGUCUAACCCAAAGCCCUCUGCCCACUCCAUGGUGUCUUCUAGGGACUGGAAAAUCCUUUUGCUGUACUGUACCAGGGAGCCCAACUGGGCUAGUGACCCCGGUAAGCUACAAUAGCAGUGGUUAAUAAUGAUCAUAGUAAGAGCUAAUACUCAACUGAUGCUAAUAGACUGAAUAGGAAAGCAAGUGGGAUUGAGAGACGGAAAAAAAGAAUGAAUCUGGAAGGGUGGGUGCAUACGGGGAGGGAUUCUGAGUCAGAUGGAAGUUACAAGAAGAUAAAAAAUUGAAAUCGCAUGUCAACCCACUUGUUGCUGACAUGUCACGAGCUUGUACAAGCUUCCUCAGUCACCAGGACACCAGGCUGUUGGCCUCAUUCCCCUGUAGUAACAUUGAUAAGUACAUUCCACUGAGACCAGAUGUAGCUGUGAGAGGCCAGGAGCUCGUUUACUAGAAGACACAAAAGGGGUGGAGGGGUUGGUGCAAAUUUUCAAUCGUGUCUUGGAGUUUUUGUGAAAGGCCAAGAUGGGAAACUUUCUGGGGAUGUUCCAGUGAAAUUCUGGAUCAAGCUGCAUACGUUUUUCCAUGAAGCUAUUAGGGCUGGCUACUCAAAAAUAGCAAGAGAACUCGUGUGUGUGUGUGUGUGUGUGUUUGUGUGUGUGUGUGUUUGUGUGUGUGUGUGUGUGUGUGUGUGUUUGAGUGAGAGAGAGAGAGAAAGAGGGAGAAAGAGAGCAUGAGCACAUGGGGACAUCCAUGCAAGAAACACUGUGAUUGACAAGUUUGGGGGAAACUGAAUAAUUUUUAACCAUUUGAUAAUUUGUUCUUAGUCCUGCUCCCUGCUGACUUACAUUUCCAUACAUGUUCUGCUUGUCAACUGAUAGGGUAAGUAGCUGGGAAGGUAUAGAGAAGAGAAGGGGAAGGGUGAGAAAAGGCUUUGGAUGCCACAAAUAGAGUUUCUAAUCCAAAUUUAGCCACCAAUCAGAUUUACAUAAGAGAACAAUAGCUAACAUGUAUUUCAGGAUCUGUGUUAAGUGCAUCUUCUAUAUCAUUUAACUUUCAAAGCCGCUCCACAGCAGAGAUUCUCCCAGGGUCCCUGUUUUAUAGAUGAGGAAACUGAAGAUCAGGAGGCCUAGGAAAAAUUUAUGGAAGAUAUAGGCAGAUUUGAGUUGGGGGCCAUCUAAAUUCAACAUUCUACUCUUCCUAUUUUUUUUUUUUUCCUGUUUAGGGCUGUACCGCGGCAUAUGGAGAUUUCCAGGCUAGGGGUCGAAUUUGAGGUACUGCUGCCAGCCUCCACCAUAGCCACAGCGAUGCAGGAUCCUAGCCACUUUUGUGACUUACACCACAGCUCACAGCAAUGCCAGAUCUUUAACCCAUUGAUCAGGGCCAGGGAUCAAACCCACAUCCUCAUGGAUACUAGUCGAGUUCAUUACCACUGUGCCACAACUGGAACUCCAACAUUCUACUCUUCUGAAUGGCAUGACUUGGAGAGAAUUUUUAAGUCAGGCCUCAGUUUCUGUUCUUUAAAGUAGAGAUGAACACAGCUGACCCAGGCUACCGUCAGGGGACCUAAAUUAAGUGUAGUAUUUCACACCAGAGUCUGGCGCAUAAUAGGUCCUCAGUGAAUGUUACUUAUUCUCCUUGCCCAGGACUUUCAGAAGGGGAGAGGACAUAGGAAAAACCAAACCAAACCAAAAACCUGACUAGACUGGACAGAGGGCAUUGCUAUAAAAAAGAAGAAAAGUUCAGAUUCACCUUAGAUUCAAGAAUGCAAACAGGAUAAAGGACACUGGGCUCAGAACCACACAUAGACUGAUUUAGCCACAAGCUUGUGGAGGUGAGGGUAUUGUGUCUAAUUGGCAAAUGAAGAAGUGGUGCCCUAAAAGACUAAAUACCUUUCCCUAAGUCCUUUUGCUGGGAUUUUCUCCAAGGAGUGAACCUACUUGUUAUGCUUUUAUUUAUUUAUUUAUGUAUUUUUUGAGGAAGAAUGUACAUACCAUGGAAGUCACCUCUAGAAGUAUACAGUCUACUCUAUUCACAGAGAAGUGCAACCAUCACCACUAUGCAACUGUCUAAGUCCAGAGAAUUUUCAUUGCCCCAAAGAGAAUCUGCUGACUCAUGAACAGUCACUCCCAUUCCUCCCUCCCUUGGACCCAGCAGGCAGUUUGAAGAGUGGUCCUCGAUGUGGCUGCAAACAUGUCUAUUUCCUUCUUCCCAACCAACCAAUGGAGUGAGGGACUCUCCCCAUGCAGACUGAAGAGGUGUGAACUGAAGUCUGGCACUUGCCAUCAGCCUCUGCAUGGAGUAAAACAUGAGCCACUGAAGCUGCAGACCCGCAGCACUGCCUGAGUGGAGCUCAGCGUGGAGACCAGGCGUGAGGCUCUCUGUGCUCUGGGAAAACUGGAAGAACAGGCCUUCAGAUAGUUAGAUAUUUUUUUGGAGAAGCUUUUAUGAGCCCAAUUCUUGCAUCUCCUCAUAUCUAGAAAAACACUAAAAUCCUUCAAUGAUGACUGAUGUCUGUGACUAGUAUAUCUAGGAAAACACUACGCAUAUCUAGAAAAACACUAAAAUCCUUCAAUGAUGACUUCUAUAAAAUAUAUGCAUGGCUGCAUGCACUCCCCCUUCACCUUUAUGACUUAUAUAUUGAUACAGCCCUCUUUCCUCUUUAGGGUGGUAUUUCAGACCUAUCUGAAAUACUGCCUCAUGGGCUGUAGUUAGAGGACGAAACGAAAGAUAUCAUGGUCAUCUGCAACCACAACCACUCCCAAGGACGGGCCACUGAGCCCUGAGGGAACUCAGGGAAGAAACGAAGAAGACUGGCCCACAGUUGAGGUGCACAUCAAAGGAGCAACUCCAGGAAGCCCACACUUUGACAUCUUCCCAUAGAAACUGGUUUUCUGUCAAUCUGGUUAUCUGUAAAUCUUUUGUUCCUACUACCUUCCCUUUGUUGCAAAACUCACAUGGCACCCCCCACCUCACCUGCUCAGAGUGGUUUCUCAGGGCUACCUGAGAUGCUGUCUCUUGGGCUUAAGUCCUAAUGUCACCCCAAAUAAAACUUAACUCU